rnacentral:rRNA from 1 species
AAAGUUCGAACGGGGAGAUUCACCGUCAGCGGGGCAGGCUUCGCGGAGGUUCGUGAUGUCGCGGCGACUCAGGUCGCGCUUCACGCGUCCUUCGCGUAUGUCCGGCAACGUCGGCGUGCACUUCUCCUCUAGUAGGACGUCGCGACCCGUUGGGUGCCGGCCUACGGACCGGGGUGCUGCCCGUUGCGCGCCGCUUCGGCGCGCGCGACGAACCCCCGGUUUCCCGGCCGGCUGCCCGACGGUACACCCACGGUAUCGGGCCGCCCAUAUUCGAAAGGCGUCGGGCGCGUCGCAAGAGGCGUCAGGUUUGAAAGCCGGUGAUAAGUCGGACCCAGUGCCGUCCCCGGGCCUUUCACUCUCUUAGCGGACACCGACGGGCCGAAAGAAACGUUACCGGUCGGCGACAUUAUUGCUUUGGGUACUCUCAGGAUCCAUCUUGAAACACGGAACAUCGGGUCUAAUGUGCGCUCGUUCUCUUUGCGAGAUGAGUCGCACCCAG